AUUGAACGCUGGCGGCAGGCCUAACACAUGCAAGUCGAGCGGCAGCGGGAGAGUAGCUUGCUACUUUUGCCGGCGAGCGGCGGACGGGUGAGUAAUGCCUGGGAAAUUGCCCAGUCGAGGGGGAUAACAGUUGGAAACGACUGCUAAUACCGCAUACGCCCUACGGGGGAAAGCAGGGGACCUCCGGGCCUUGCGCGAUUGGAUAUGCCCAGGUGGGAUUAGCUAGUUGGUGAGGUAAUGGCUCACCAAGGCGACGAUCCCUAGCUGGUCUGAGAGGAUGAUCAGCCACACUGGAACUGAGACACGGUCCAGACUCCUACGGGAGGCAGCAGUGGGGAAUAUUGCACAAUGGGGGAAACCCUGAUGCAGCCAUGCCGCGUGUGUGAAGAAGGCCUUCGGGUUGUAAAGCACUUUCAGCGAGGAGGAAAGGUUGAUGCCUAAUACGUAUCAACUGUGACGUUACUCGCAGAAGAAGCACCGGCUAACUCCGUGCCAGCAGCCGCCGUAACAC
rnacentral:rRNA from 1 species